rnacentral:rRNA from 1 species
CCUACGGGAGGCAGCAGUGAGGAAUAUUGGUCAAUGGACGAGAGUCUGAACCAGCCAAGUAGCGUGAAGGAUGACUGCCCUAUGGGUUGUAAACUUCUUUUAUAUGGGAAUAAAAUGUUCCACGUGUGGGAUUUUGUAUGUACCAUAUGAAUAAGGAUCGGCUAACUCCGUGCCAGCAGCCGCGGUAAUACGGAGGAUCCGAGCGUUAUCCGGAUUUAUUGGGUUUAAAGGGAGCGUAGGGGGAUUGUUAAGUCAGUUGUGAAAGUUUGCGGCUCAACCGUAAGAUUGCAGUUGAAACUGGCAGUCUUGAGUACAGUAGAGGUGGGCGGAAUUCGUGGUGUAGCGGUGAAAUGCUUAGAUAUCGCGAAGAACUCCGAUUGCGAAGGCAGUUCACUGGACUGCAACUGACACUGAGGCUCGAAAGUGUGGGUAUCAAACAGGAUUAGAUACCCGUGUAGUC